CCUACGGGCGGCUGCAGUGGGGAAUCUUCCGCAAUGGGCGAAAGCCUGACGGAGCAACGCCGCGUGAGUGAGGAAGGCCUUCGGGUUGUAAAACUCUGUCAUCAGGGACGAAACAAAUGACGGUACCUGAUGAGGAAGCCCUGGCUAACUACGUGCCAGCAGCCGCGGUAAAACGUAGGGGGCGAGCGUUGUCCGGAAUUACUGGGCGUAAAGGGCGUGUAGGCGGUCUUUUAAGUCAGAGGUGAAAACUGCCGGCUUAACCGGUAGCUUGCCUUUGAAACUAGGAGACUUGAGGGCAGGAGAGGAGAGUGGAAUUCCCGGUGUAGCGGUGAUAUGCGUAGAUAUCGGGAGGAACACCAGUGGCGAAGGCGGCUCUCUGGCCUGCUUCUGACGCUGAGGCGCGAAAGCGUGGGUAGCGAACGGGCUUAGAUACCCCUGUAGUC
rnacentral:rRNA from 1 species